rnacentral:rRNA from 1 species
UACGUAGGGGGCAGCGUUGUCCGGAAUCAUUGGGCGUAAAGCGCGUGUAGGCGGUUCGGUAAGUCCGCUGUGAAAGUCGGGGGGCUCAACCCUCGGAUGCCGGUGGAUACUGUCGAGCUUGAGUACGGAAGAGGCGAGUGGAAUUCCUGGUGUAGCGGUGAAAUGCGCAGAUAUCAGGAGGAACACCAAUUGCGAAGGCAGCUCGCUGGGACGUUACUGACGCUGGAGACGCGAAAGCGUGGGGAGCAAACAGG